rnacentral:misc_RNA from 1 species
UUUUUUAUGACUCUCUAAUCAAGGUAGCUUAGAUUUCUUUCAUUUACAUAUAACUAAAUGGAAUUUUCAUUAAUAUGAAUGAAUUAUUCUGAGAAGAAAAAAAUCAAGCAGCAGGUCAGGUCAUAUUGGUUUUCCAUUUAACCAACGAGAAAAGAAAUCCAAAGCUUCUUGAGGCUUGUAUUCAGGGACCGUAUGCCCAGCACCCUUAAUGGUGAGGAAGGUAAGAUUAUUCUCAUACCCUUGUAAGUACCCAGCAAUUUGAUCAUUUGACAUCCAAGAUCUCCAUUCAUCUAUGAUCUUAUAUCCAAGUGAUUUUGUCCAUGCUUGGCUUCCGGUGAAUGGCACACACAUAUCAUGAUCUCCACUGAAAAUAAGAGCCCGAUAGCCCUGUCUUGUUAGGGUUUUGUGGUAAGGGAUCAUACUUCCGGCAUCAUGACGAUAUAAUAACCUGUGAGUGCAUAGCACCCAAGCUCCCACCAUGGAUUCCGGUUGUGCAUGAAUUGCUGUCCUAACCGAUUUAUCAUUUAGCCAUGUCGAUGCAAUCUCAUCGUUCAUGCAUCCAACACUGCCUUGCACUGCUAGUUCAGGCCAGGAUGGUACAAUGCCGUCUUUUACUGGUGCCCAUAAUGGCCAAGCACGUCCGAAAAUUCUCUUUCUCACCGGAAUAUUCUUGUUAUUGGUCUUCCCUAAUUGCUGGAAGCUGCUUGGUAAUCUUGUGUUUAGUUUUGAUUCUGGGUCAUGGUAGCAUGGCUCCAGGAUGUCAUAAACGUUUAGCCCUUCCAGUGCCUUGUCAACUUUAUCAAGGAUUUUAGAGCAAAUAAUGCCUGGUUCAUCAUAAUUUCCUUUACAAGCAGCUCGAGCUUCCUGCAAGAAUUAAUAAACUUUAAUUUAAUAGUAUUGAGUUCAUCGUCUCUAGAUAUGUAAGAUCAAUUAAAAUUAAAUAAAAAAAUAAUUGCAAAAAAACAAAAUAAUGUUUACCCACUUGAUAAAUAUCAUCUGAGAUGAGGCCCAUUCCAUGUGCAAAAGGGAGAAGAGCAUUGCCCCCAUCAAAAUUUCCAUCUGUGACCCCAUUCCCCACGACGUAACCCUUCAAAUUGAUAGUUGGCUUUGCACCAGCUUUGAUUCCUUUCACUAUUUCAGAAGUAAGAGUAGGGACGUAAACGCCAGCAUAAGACUCUCCAGCAACGUAAAAUGGAUUGCUGAGGAACUCCGGAUAUAACCCAAACCACUUAAGAAGAAAAGAAUGUGUAUCUGCGGCAGUUUUUAGGUCACCAGUUACAUAUUCAGUUUCAUUUUUGGAGUAUGAAAAGCCAACACCAGCAGGAGAAUCCAAAUAAAUAAUGGUUGAAACCUUGGACCAGCUAUAUGGAUUGAGAUGCAAUAUGGGCAGACUUCCUUUCGGCUUCCUUGCUUCAAAAUUGAAUGGCCCAUGUUCAUAAACGAAGCCAUCAAAGCUUGAGCAGCCUGGUCCACCAUUUAGCCACAAGACGACAGGAUCUUUGGAUGGAUUUCUCUCAGAAACAACCAAGUAAUAGAAAAGAUUUUUCUCACCUACACUCACAUACCCUGAGUAGUGUUUUGAUGGGAAAUUGCCAAUGAAACCAGGUAGAUAGGUGAUGAGAGCCCCUUCUUGAGCUGCUUUGAUAGAGCCAAGACUCAAAAGCAUGAACAGUAACAUCCCCCAAAAGAAGUAAAGCGUAUCCAUGGUCUUGUCCAUGUUGAUCAUAAGCCUAGAGGUCUUAUGUAAACAAAAUUUAUAAGCUA